CUACGGGGGGUGCAAGCGUUACUCGGAAUCACUGGGCGUAAAGCGCGCGCAGGCGGCUAUUUAAGUUGGAUGUGAAAGCCUACGGCUCAACCGUAGAACUGCAUCCAAAACUAUUUAGCUAGAGUGUGGGAGAGGAAGAUGGAAUUAGUUGUGUAGGGGUAAAAUCCGUAGAGAUAACUAGGAAUACCAAAAGCGAAGGCAAUCUUCUGGAACACUACUGACGCUGAGGCGCGAAAGCGUGGGGAGCAAACAGGAUUAGAAACCCCAGUAGUCC
rnacentral:rRNA from 1 species